ensembl:snRNA U6 U6 spliceosomal RNA
GUGUUUGCUUUGGCAGCACAGAUACUAAAAUUGGAACGAUGCCAAGAAGAGCAGCAUGGUGCCUGGGCAACGUUGUACAGCAUAUCGUAGUUUUAACCAACGUUA